AAGAAUAUAAAUAUUAAUAUAAUAAAAUAUAAAAUUUAAAUUAAUUACAAAAAAAUUAAUACAGUACAGUGUAGUGCCAAACAUUGCACAGUAUUAUUAUAAUACAAUGCUAAUACAAUACAGCAUAAUACAAUACAUCAGCAUUAAAAUAAUGUAAUACAGUAUAAUACAAUACAGUGUACCAAACGCACCCUAAUACCAUUACGUGCAAACGUUUUGGAUUCUUUUACGUUUUUGCCCCUGCGAACAUGCAAUAAUUGUGAUAAGCAAUUUGACCUGCAAAGUUAAUAAUAAUAAUUAUGAUUAUUAUUAUUACCACCAUCAUCAUCAUCAUCAUCAUCCAGAUUUUGAUUUUUAUUUUGUAUUGAAUAUUUGAUUUUGAUCGGAUAAGGCUUGAUUUGGAGUGUUCGGAUAUAGUUUAGUUUUAUUAUGUUACUUUGCAUUAAUAUUUACUUAAUUAUUUUUAUUUAAUUUGAGCAUUAAACACGUCUCAUGUCUAUGAUUCUCAUCUCCGUAAAGUAUAAUGCUAAAGGUAUAUUUACAGCCUCCAAAUUU
rnacentral:lncRNA from 1 species